rnacentral:rRNA from 1 species
CAGUCGCCACGGGAAUACGGAGGGGGCUAGCGUUGUUCGGAAUUACUGGGCGUAAAGCGCACGUAGGCGGCUUGGUAAGUUAGAGGUGAAAGCCUGGAGCUCAACUCCAGAAUUGCCUUUAAGACUGCCGAGCUAGCAGGUGAGAGAGGUAAGUGGAAUUCCGAGUGUAGAGGUGAAAUUCGUAGAUAUUCGGAAGAACACCAGUGGCGAAGGCGGCUUACUGGCUCAUACUGGACGCUGAGGUGCGAAAGCGUGGGGAGCAAACAGGAUUAGAUACCCCCGUAGUCCCUGUCUCUUAUAA